GCCUCGUGGUUCCCAGAGUCAGCUCCAAAGUGCUGAACUGUGGGUGUUUUUUUUUUUUUUUUUGCCAGGCGCACAUUGAACUCUGCGAUUUCACGCAUGGGAGCUGUCAUUAUUGCAGACUUCCAUAGCCCGGUUGCAGAUACAUUU